ACGAACGCUGGCGGCGUGCUUAACACAUGCAAGUCGAACGGAAAGGCCCUGCUUUUGUGGGGUGCUCGAGUGGCGAACGGGUGAGUAACACGUGAGUAACCUGCCCUUGACUUUGGGAUAACUUCAGGAAACUGGGGCUAAUACCGGAUAGGAGCUCCUGCUGCAUGGUGGGGGUUGGAAAGUUUCGGCGGUUGGGGAUGGACUCGCGGCUUAUCAGCUUGUUGGUGGGGUAGUGGCUUACCAAGGCUUUGACGGGUAGCCGGCCUGAGAGGGUGAACGGCGACAUUGGGACUGAGAUACGGCCCAGACGCGUACGGGAGGCAGCAGUGGGGAAUAUUGCACAAUGGGCGGGAGCCUGAUGCAGCAACGCCGCGUGCGGGAUGACGGCCUUCGGGUUGUAAACCGCUUUCGCCUGUGACGAAGCGUGAGUGACGGUAAUGGGUAAAGAAGCACCGGCUAACUACGUG
rnacentral:rRNA from 1 species